CACUGCAUUUCAGACCUCAGACUCCAGCACAAGCCCCAAUGUCUACAGUGCUAUUUUAGGCCGUCGGUUGACCUGGGCUCUGAGAUUCAUUGCUGUUGGUCUUUUCUUGCUGUGUAGAUGUACCCAAACAUUGUUUCACCUUUUUCUCAAUCCUGUAUGCAAGGUCUGUGAACAUUGUUUGAAAUAUAAUCUCUUCUGCAAAAUAUCCCUGCACUGUUAGGUCCUGUACUAAGCCCUAUUUUUUGGAGUACUUUGGUAUUCUUUGGAGGCCUAAGAAUGUGAUAUAACAAGAAGCUGAAACUGAGCAGCAGCUCUCACAGUCCCAGGAGAUGCCAAUAUUCUCUGUGAAGUAGGAGCAUAUGUUUUAGAAAGAUAUCCAGUGAUGAUUUAAGACUUCAAGUGAGAGAGAAUCCACCAGGUCUGGACCCGAG